rnacentral:tRNA from 1 species
GGCCCUAUGGCGCAACGGUAGCGCGUUCGACUCCAGAUCGAAAGGUAAGAUACCGUCCCGGGGCUU